rnacentral:rRNA from 1 species
AGAGGCGAUGAAGGGCGUGCUAAUCUGCGAUAAGCGCCGGUAAGGUGAUAUGAACCGUUAUAACCGGCGAUACCCGAAUGGGGAAACCCAGUGUGACUCGUCACACUAUCAUUAACUGAAUCCAUAGGUUAAUGAGGCGAACCGGGGGAACUGAAACAUCUAAGUACCCCGAGGAAAAGAAAUCAACCGAGAUUCCCCCAGUAGCGGCGAGCGAACGGGGAGGAGCCCAGAGCCUGAAUCAGCAUGUGUGUUAGUGGAAGCGUCUGGAAAGGCGCGCGAUACAGGGUGACAGCCCCGUACACAAAAGCGCAUGUGCUGUGAGCUCGAUGAGUAGGGCGGGACACGUGGUAUCCUGUCUGAAUAUGGGGGGACCAUCCUCCAAGGCUAAAUACUCCUGACUGACCGAUAGUGAACCAGUACCGUGAGGGAAAGGCGAAAAGAACCCCGGCGAGGGGAGUGAAAAAGAACCUGAAACCGUGUACGUACAAGCAGUGGGAGCACCCUUUGGGUGUGACUGCGUACCUUUUGUAUAAUGGGUCAGCGACUUAUAUUCUGUAGCAAGGUUAACCGAAUAGGGGAGCCGGAGGGAAACCGAGUCUUAAUUGGGCGUUAAGUUGCAGGGUAUAGACCCGAAACCCGGUGAUCUAGCCAUGGGCAGGUUGAAGGUUGGGUAACACUAACUGGAGGACCGAACCGACUAAUGUUGAAAAAUUAGCGGAUGACCUGUGGCUGGGGGUGAAAGGCCAAUCAAACCGGGAGAUAGCUGGUUCUCCCCGAAAGCUAUUUAGGUAGCGCCUCGUGAAUUCAUCUCCGGGGGUAGAGCACUGUUUCGGCUAGGGGGCCAUCCCGGCUUACCAACCCGAUGCAAACUGCGAAUACCGGAGAAUGUUAUCACGGGAGACACACGGCGGGUGCUAACGUCCGUCGUGAAGAGGGAAACAACCCAGACCGCCAGCUAAGGUCCCAAAGUCAUGGUUAAGUGGGAAACGAUGUGGGAAGGCCCAGACAGCCAGGAUGUUGGCUUAGAAGCAGCCAUCAUUUAAAGAAAGCGUAAUAGCUCACUGGUCGAGUCGGCCUGCGCGGAAGAUGUAACGGGGCUAAACCAUGCACCGAAGCUGCGGCAGCGACGCUUAUGCGUUGUUGGGUAGGGGAGCGUUCUGUAAGCCUGCGAAGGUGGCCUGUGAGGGUUGCUGGAGGUAUCAGAAGUGCGAAUGCUGACAUAAGUAACGAUAAAGCGGGUGAAAAGCCCGCUCGCCGGAAGACCAAGGGUUCCUGUCCAACGUUAAUCGGGGCAGGGUGAGUCGACCCCUAAGGCGAGGCCGAAAGGCGUAGUCGAUGGGAAACGGGUUAAUAUUCCCGUACUUGGUGUUACUGCGAAGGGGGGACGGAGAAGGCUAUGUUGGCCGGGCGACGGUUGUCCCGGUUUAAGCGUGUAGGUGUGUGUUCCAGGUAAAUCCGGUUCACUUUAACACUGAGGCGUGAUGACGAGGCACUACGGUGCUGAAG